AAAAUGUUUUAGAUAUAUUGGGCUGAGUAUAUUCUUGAAAUUAAUUUUAUAUGUUUUAUUGUACAUCCUUGAAAAGCAAAUUUUUGAGUGUAGCAGCAGUCCAGAAGCUGAGGCAGGAGGAUGGCAAGUGUAAGGCCAUUUGGGCUAGAUUAUGAGCUCCUGCCCCAAAACAAAAACAAAAUUAGGAAGUGAGAAAAAUGUCUGAUCAAAAAUUAGUUUGUUUUUCUGUUGCUGUGAUUACACACUGACCAAAAGCAAUUCUGGUCAGGAGCUACUUUCACUUAUAGGUUGUAAUCUCUCAUUACGGGAAGCAAAGGCAGUAAUCCAGACAAGAAACUGGAGGCCAGAACUGAGGCAGAGACCAAGGAGGAACAUAGCUUACUGGUUCAUUUCCCAUAACCUGUUCAUCUUACCUUCUUAUACAACCCAGGACCAUCUGCCCAGGGGUGACAGGUGCCACAGUUAGCUGAUCCUUCCCACAUCAAUCAUUAAUCAAGAAAAUGCUGCAACUGGCAUGCCCAGAGACCAAUCUGAUGGAGGCAACUUGAGGCUCCCUUUUCCCAGGUUCCCAAGUUCAAAGGGUAGGGACCAGAUGGAGGUCUCCAGUUUGGGCUCUCUCUCUUUCUGCCUGAUGUUUGGCUGUGGGUCUCUGCAUCCGCUCCUUGGGGGCUUCCAACACCAGAAAGAAAAGGAGACUGUGGAAUGUUGGCGGGUUUAUAAAAGUCUUCUGCCUGCAUGCCAGCAGAGGGCACCAGAUCUCAUUCAAGGUGUUUGUGAGCCACCAUGUGGUUGCCGGGAAUUGAACUGAGGGCCUCUGGAAAAGCAAUCAGUGCUCUUAACCGCUGAGCCAUCUCCAGUCCUGGAUUUUUUAAGAAAGGAAGAAAGAAAGAGAAAGAACAGUCAAAGAUGUAAGGGAAAAUACCAACUUGCCUACAAAGGAAUAUACAUCAAAAUAACAUCAGAUUCCUCAUCUACAAUUCUAUAGGAAAGCAUGGAACAGUGUAUGCAGGCAAAAAAUCUGCCAACUAAAGAUUGCUGUAUCCAAAAAAGCAAUCUUCAAAAACCCACAGUAAAUGAAGGAAGUUUCAAGAUAAGAUAAACUGAAGCAGUUCCUAACCACCUAGCCAUCAUGCUGCAGAAGAUACUUAAAGGAAUCCUAUUCAUGGAGGAACAAGAAAGGGCAUCGAUCAGGAAAGAAAACAUUUCAUAAGAGGAAUGCAUGAACAAAGGAGAUCCAGGAAGGAAUCUAUUGUUCCAACACAGUAAACAUCCACAACUAAGGAGAUGAACAAUGAAAGACCCAACCAACCAGAAAGCACAUGCAACAAAUUAACAGGGGUUAAUAAACAUCACUCAACAAUAACCUUAAAUAUAAAU
rnacentral:lncRNA from 1 species